CCCAGCCGAUGGAUUUGAUUGUAAGAACUAGAACAGCGUGGGAAAGCUGACCGAAGAUGGUGAUAGUCCAGUAUAGGUAGAAAGCAAUUAAGUUCUUGAGUAGGGCGGAGCACGAGAAAUUCUGUCUGAAAAUGGGGAGACCACUCUCCAAGGCUAAGUACUACUGAGUGACCGAUAGUGAACAAGUACCGUGAGGGAAAGGUGAAAAGCACCCCUAUAAGGGGAGUGAAAAAGAACCUGAAACCGGAUGCCUACAAGCAGUCGGAGGAGCAUUAGGCUCUGACGGCGUACCUUUUGUAUAAUGGGUCAGCGACUUAAUUUAUGUAGCAAGCUUAAGCCGAUAGGUGUAGGCGCAGCGAAAGCGAGUGUUAAUAGCGCGUUAAGUUACAUGGAUUAGACCCGAAACCGAGUGAUCUAGCCAUGAUCAGGUUGAAGGUUGGGUAACACCAACUGGAGGACCGAACCCACUCCCGUUGAAAAGGUAGGGGAUGAAUUGUGGCUAGGGGUGAAAGGCCAAUCAAACUCGGAAAUAGCUGGUUCUCCGCGAAAACUAUUUAGGUAGUGCGGCAAGCGGACACGUUGAGGGGUAGAGCACUGAAAGAGCUAAGGGGGAGCGAUCCUUACUAAACUUUAUCAAACUCCGAAUACUCAACAGUGAUACUUGCCAGACAGACUGUAGGUGCUAAGGUCUACGGUCGAGAGGGAAAGAGCCCAGACCGCCAAUUAAGGUCCCAAAAUUAUGGCUAAGUGGUAAAGGAAGUGAAUUGUCCAAAACAGUCAGGAGGUUGGCUUAGAAGCAGCCAUCCUUUAAAGAAAGCGUAAUAGCUCACUGAUCUAAACAAGACGAUUUGCGCCGAAGAUGUAACGGGGCUAAAGCCAUAUACCGAAGUUGCGGAAUUGCACGUAAGUGCAAUUGGUAGCGGAGCGUUCUGUAAGCCUGCGAAGGUGUUCCGUAAGGAAUGCUGGAGGUAUCAGAAGUGAGAAUGCUGACAUGAGUAGCGAAAAGAAGUGUGAGAGACACUUCCGCUGAAAGUCCAAGGUUUCCUGCGUAAAGCUAAUCUGCGCAGGGUUAGUCGGCCCCUAAGGCGAGGCAGAGAUGCGUAGUCGAUGGGAAUCAGGUUAAUAUUCCUGAACCAACUAGGAAGUGACGGAUUCAGUAAAUUGUAUGUCCUUAUUGGAUUGGAUGUGCAGUGAAUGAGUCCCGGGAAAUAGCCCUAGUAUAGACCGUACCCGAAACCGACACAGGUGGACAGGUAGAGAAUACCAAAGCGCUUGAGAGAACUAUGUUGAAGGAACUAGGCAAAAUACUUGCGUAACUUCGGGAUAAGCAAGCCCCAUUUCUGGGCAACCAGAGGUGGGGGGCACAUACUAGGGGGUAGCGACUGUUUACUAAAAACACAGGGCUCUGCUAAAUUGAAAGAUGAAGUAUAGGGUCUGACGCCUGCCCGGUGCUGGAAGGUUAAGGAGAGAUGUGCAAGCAUUGAACUGAAGCCCCAGUGAACGGCGGCCGUAACUAUAACGGUCCUAAGGUAGCGAAAUUCCUUGUCGGGUAAGUUCCGACCUGCACGAAUGGCGUAACGACUUCCCCGCUGUCUCCAACAUAGACUCAGCGAAAUUGAAUUCUGAGUUAAGAUGCUCAGUACCCGCGGUUAGACGGAAAGACCCCGUGAACCUUUACUAUAGCUUUGCAGUGGUAUUAGGUGACAAAUGUGUAGGAUAGGUGGGAUGCUAUGAAGUUAUGACGCUAGUUGUAAUGGAGCAGACGUUGAAAUACCACCCUUUUGUUAUUUGAUAUCUAACCUGCUUCCGUUAUCCGGAAGAGGGACCCUGCAUGGUGGGUAGUUUGACUGGGGCGGUCGCCUCCCAAAGAGUAACGGAGGCGCGCAAAGGUUGGCUCAGAUUGGUCGGAAAUCAAUCGUUGAGUGCAAUGGCAUAAGCCAGCCUGACUGCGAGAGCGACAGUUCGAGCAGAGACGAAAGUCGGUCAUAGUGAUCCGGUGGUCCCGAGUGGAAGGGCCAUCGCUCAACGGAUAAAAGGUACUCCGGGGAUAACAGGCUGAUUCCGCCCAAGAGUUCACAUCGACGGCGGAGUUUGGCACCUCGAUGUCGGCUCAUCACAUCCUGGGGCUGGAGAAGGUCCCAAGGGUUCGGCUGUUC
rnacentral:rRNA from 1 species